ACUGUGUGAGGCUCUGGGCAGCAUGUCACAUGGUCAGGCCAUCUCCAUCAGAUGAAAUCAUCUGGGUGGCAGUCCACAGGCAAGAGGUUAUACUCUGGGCCUUUAAUUAUUUAAGAGACAUGGGAUAGGAGCAUCAAACUCUCUGAGCGAUGGAAGUGCCUGCUUCAGGAGCAUCCAUCCAUCCACCCUCAUCACUGGCGCCACACUAGACACUUUCCCAACACUCAUGACUACCCUGCUUCAAAGUGCUGAUUCAGCAGCUUCUUGGACUUUGGGUUAAGAACGUCUGCGCCACUUAGAUUUCCCUCCUCCUGGUGCUGAAGUUUCUCCCUCUGAAGAAGGAUCUUGAAUCUGACCAUUAGGGCCCAACUACCAAUUCUGGGACAUUAAACAACCACAUGGGAUUCCAGAGGAAUGAGGUGACCAA